rnacentral:rRNA from 1 species
UACGUAGGGCGCAAGCGUUAUCCGGAAUUAUUGGGCGUAAAGAGCUCGUAGGCGGUUUGUCGCGUCUGCCGUGAAAGUCCGGGGCUCAACUCCGGAUCUGCGGUGGGUACGGGCAGACUAGAGUGAUGUAGGGGAGACUGGAAUUCCUGGUGUAGCGGUGAAAUGCGCAGAGAUCAGGAGGAACACCCGUAGCGAAGGCGGCACUCUGGGCCGAUACUGACACUGAGGAGCGAAAGCGUGGGGAGCGAACAGG